UUGCUGUGAUGACUUUCUUAGGACACCUUUGGAUUAACCAUGAAAAGAAGUUUCGAGUUCUGAGCAAC
ensembl:snoRNA SNORD58 Small nucleolar RNA SNORD58